GGACUACUGGGGUUUCUAAUCCCAUUUGCUCCCCUGGCCUUCGCGCCUCAGCGUCAGGAACUGUCCAGAGAUCCGCCUUCGCCACUGGUCUUCCUCACGAUAUCUACGCAUUUCACUGCUACACCGUGAAUUCCAAUCUCCUCUCCAGUCCUCAAGCAAAACAGUAUCCAGUGCAGUUUAGGAGUUAAGCUCCUAGAUUUCACACCAGACUUACUUCACCGCCUACGCGCCCUUUACGCCCAAUGAAUCCGAACAACGCUUGAGACCUCUGUAUUACCGCGGCUGCUGGCAC
rnacentral:rRNA from 1 species